CAGGACGAACGCUGGCGGCGUGCCUAAUACAUGCAAGUCGAACGCGUCUUGGUCAAUGAUUUUAGGUGCUUGCACUUGACUGAUUUGACAUUGAGACGAGUGGCGAACUGGUGAGUAACACGUGGGUAACCUGCCCUUGAAGUAGAGGAUAACACUUGGAAACAGGUGCUAAUACUGCAUAACAACGAAAACCGCCUGGUUUUCGUUUGAAAGAUGGCUUCGGCUAUCGCUUUAGGAUGGACCCGCGGCGUAUUAGCUAGUUGGUGAGGUAACGGCUCACCAAGGCAAUGAUACGUAGCCGACCUGAGAGGGUAAUCGGCCACAUUGGGACUGAGACACGGCCCAAACUCCUACGGGAGGCAGCAGUAGGGAAUCUUCCACAAUGGACGAAAGUCUGAUGGAGCAACGCCGCGUGAGUGAUGAAGGGUUUCGGCUCGUAAAACUCUGUUGUUGGAGAAGAACGGGUGUCAGAGUAACUGUUGACAUCGUGACGGUAUCCAACCAGAAAGCCACGGCUAACUACGUGCCAGCAGCCGCGGUAAUACGUAGGUGGCAAGCGUUGUCCGGAUUUAUUGGGCGUAAAGCGAGCGCAGGCGGUUUUUUAGGUCUGAUGUGAAAGCUUCGGCUUAACCGGAGAAGUGCAUCGGA
rnacentral:rRNA from 2 species